rnacentral:rRNA from 1 species
CGGGGGCGGGCUAUACAUGCAGUCGAACGAGUUCUCGUUGAUGAUCGGUGCUUGCACCGAGAUUCAACAUGGAACGAGUGGCGGACGGGUGAGUAACACGUGGGUAACCUGCCCUUAAGUGGGGGAUAACAUUUGGAAACAGAUGCUAAUACCGCAUAGAUCCAAGAACCGCAUGGUUCUUGGCUGAAAGAUGGCGUAAGCUAUCGCUUUUGGAUGGACCCGCGGCGUAUUAGCUAGUUGGUGAGGUAAUGGCUCACCAAGGCGAUGAUACGUAGCCGAACUGAGAGGUUGAUCGGCCACAUUGGGACUGAGACACGGCCCAAACUCCUACGGGAGGCAGCAGUAGGGAAUCUUCCACAAUGGACGCAAGUCUGAUGGAGCAACGCCGCGUGAGUGAAGAAGGCUUUCGGGUCGUAAAACUCUGUUGUUGGAGAAGAAUGGUCGGCAGAGUAACUGUUGUCGGCGUGACGGUAUCCAACCAGAAAGCCACGGCUAACUACGUGCCAGCAGCCGCGGUAAUACGUAGGUGGCAAGCGUUAUCCGGAUUUAUUGGGCGUAAAGCGAGCGCAGGCGGUUUUUUAAGUCUGAUGUGAAAGCCCUCGGCUUAACCGAGGAAGCGCAUCGGAAACUGGGAAACUUGAGUGCAGAAGAGGACAGUGGAACUCCAUGUGUAGCGGUGAAAUGCGUAGAUAUAUGGAAGAACACCAGUGGCGAAGGCGGCUGUCUGGUCUGUAACUGACGCUGAGGCUCGAAAGCAUGGGUAGCGAACAGGAUUAGAUACCCUGGUAGUCCAUGCCGUAAACGAUGAAUGCUAGGUGUUGGAGGGUUUCCGCCCUUCAGUGCCGCAGCUAACGCAUUAAGCAUUCCGCCUGGGGAGUACGACCGCAAGGUUGAAACUCAAGAGAAAAUUGCAGGGGA